rnacentral:piRNA from 1 species
UGAUUGCACUUUUACAUUUUAAGCUUGGAUU